AGCGAACGCUGGCGGCAGGCUUAACACAUGCGAGUCGAGCGGGCAUCCUUGUGGUGUCAGCGGCAGACGGGUGAGUAACGCGUGGGAACGUGCCCUUCGGUUCGGAAUAACUCAGGGAAACUUGAGCUAAUACCGGAUACGUGCGAGAGCAGAAAGGUUUAUCUGCCGAAGGAUCGGCCCGCGUCUGAUUAGCUAGUUGGUGAGGUUACGGCUCACCAAGGCGACGAUCAGUAGCUGGUCUGAGAGGAUGAUCAGCCACACUGGGACUGAGACACGGCCCAGACUCCUACGGGAGGCAGCAGUGGGGAAUAUUGGACAAUGGGGGCAACCCUGAUCCAGCCAUGCCGCGUGAGUGAUGACGGCCUUAGGGUUGUAAAGCUCUUUUCUCCGGGACGAUAAUGACGGUACCGGAGGAAUAAGCCCCGGCUAACUUCGUG
rnacentral:rRNA from 1 species